rnacentral:rRNA from 1 species
CGCCAGCAGCCGCGGUAACACGUAAGGGGCGAGCGUUGUUCGGAAUUAUUGGGCGUAAAGGGCGUGUAGGCGGUUAUGUAAGACUGAUGUAAAAUACACUGGCUUAACCAGUGAAUUGCGUUGGUAACUGCAUAGCUAGAGUUUAGGAGAGGGAACUGGAAUUCCAGGUGUAGGGGUGAAAUCUGUAGAUAUCUGGAAGAACGCCAAAGACGAAGGUAAGUUCCUGGCCAUAGACUGACGCUGAGGCGCGAAAGCGUGGGGAGCAAACAGGAUUAGAUACCCUGGUAGUCCACGCUGUAAACGAUGUGCACUAGGCGUAGGGUGGUUUUUACCGCUCUGUGCCGUAGCUAACGUGAUAAGUGCACCGCCUGGGGAGUAUGCUCGCAAGGGUGAAACUUAAAGGAAUUGGCGGGGGAC